CUCAGCGAACCCAGCAGCCGCGCACGCGCCGCCCGCACGGGACGUGUCCGGGACGUGUCCGGGCCCGUCCUCACCCGUCCUCGCCCGCCUCGGGGCCGCCCGCGCGGCAGCACGGAGCUCGGUGCCCCGCUGCGCACCGCCGGCUAUCCGGGCGCGGCGCGGAGAAGACCGAGCCGCCGGCUGCAGGUCCGACCCCGCGCCCUUACCUCGUCGCCGCCUCGCCGCUCCCUUCAGCCGGAGGAGGGCCCCGAGGCGCCGCGCGUGACGCCGCGAGUUUACCCUACACAACUCUCGCCCGACCGGGCGCCGAGCCCCGCCCGCCCGCACGCUGCCAUGCGCCCCUCACCGCACCGCUCGGCUAUGCCGCCACGGGCUCCCCUCCGCCCGGCCCGCCCCGCGGGGCUGCGGAUGAUUGACGUGCAGGCGGGCCAAUCGCAGCGCGGGGCGCCUUCUCCACGAGCGGCGCGGGCCCGGCGCUGCGGCUCCCUCUGCUGGCGGCGCCGCCACGCGGUCGGUGUUGGAGGCGAGGCGCGCGUCAGCCGCUUCGUAUCCUGAAAUUUUAGGGGUGUUAUUUCGGAUUCAGUCUUAAAUUUUCAAGCCGUCUUGUGGUAAUUAUCAUCUGAGAGGCUUAAAAUGCUUUUGAGGGGUGCGCUGGAGUAGGAUGCAAGCAGCUGCUAGGGAUGCAAACUUUGUACCUCGUCGUCUGACUGCGCUGCGGGGACGCGGCGCUGGGCGGGCGGCGAGGCGAGGGGCAGCGACUGCGGCGUGCGAUGUCCGAGAGACACGUGGAGGAAGUAUGAGCGAGGGCUGCGGUGUGCGCUUGUGGAAGUGUUUAGAAACAGAAGUGUUGAUAACUGGAGAUGCUUCCAAGAAAUACAUGCAGGAGUCAAGAUACAGCAAAGCAGAACUGUGGUGUUUAAGGUUCGCCAGUUUCCUCAUUGCCAUCUCUGUGAGAUGAGGAUUUCCA
rnacentral:lncRNA from 1 species